GCGGGCUCCAGGAUCAGCGUCGCUGGCAUCUCGAUUUGGGUAUAAAGCGGGUAGACCUGCUUAGGAGUCCAGGCCAAGGAUGGAGUUUGCCCUGUGGUUAAGAAGGCGCGGGUCAACUCCUUGCUGUCACGCUCAUUGGUUGAGAACCUCUGUGGGAGGCCCCCUAGAGUUUAGAGUGAAAUUGAAGUAAGAGGUUGCUGAAGAUGCACGAUUAAGAGGGUCGAGUUCCUUGAAUAUAGAUUUUUGCAGCGACAGCUCAGGUAACUAUAAUUCUGCUGAUCUGAAAGAGACAUGCUUCUAAUUUUUCCCUCACCCCCAUUUCUGCUUCAUAUCUCUCCACUAAACCUUUGAAUUCUGAGAUCCUGCCAGGCAGCCCUCUUCCCUAUUCAGGCCCUCAGUUCUGCACCAAAUCUUACUGAGAUUUUCCACAAGCUGAACCUGAAGCUGCUUCUAAGAGCGGGUGAAUGCUUAUAGUCAGGCCAUCCGGGGUCCAAUUCUGACUCUGAUCCUUAAUGGCUUGAGGCAUUUUAGGAGCAGGAUGUAAUUCUCUAAAUCUAAUUUCCUUAUCUGAAAAGUGGUGUCGUCUAUUAAAUGAGGUAAUGUAAAAUAUCUCAUGGAUAUACAGGGAUCUGUAAGCAGGGAAAAGAGAGUUGCUUGUUUUUCAACCUAGAAGUCUAAUCAGUCACCUGACAGUGUCAGUUUGGGGUUAUAUUAUUGUUUUGUCAGGAAAGAAGUGGCUCAAGCAAACUGGGUCAUUUGAGAGGAGUUUCACAAAGGGACUAUUUUCAAAGAUGUGGCAACCUUACAAAAAGAAACAGGAAAAAAAAAGUUCAACAAGUUUUGGCGCAGAACUGAGAGCCUGAAGAGUCAAGGGAACAGUGCUGCCUGGCAGGAUCCCAGAAUUCAAAAUAGGGAGACAGUCAAUUUAUGAUGAUGAUAGUGCAGGCUGGGGAAAUCACAAAUACUAUGAUAUUGCUGUACCUUUGCCCUACACUCUCUUUCCAAUUUGCCUGAACCCAAUCACAUAGCUCAGGCAUGCUAAGAAGUGUGGAGGAGAAACCUGGAAGGUGUGUGGAAAGGGGAAGUUCAAUAAAUCAUUUUUUAAAAGUUAUCGGAAUCUGCUCCAGGUCUGAGAGUUCAUUGACCUUCCCCCCAAAAGAAUUAACUGCAGGCUUCCCUCCGUGGUGCUGAGCAGUGGGCAUGGGUGAAGACACAGUGUCCCCCUGGUCUGGAGUUGAUCUCCUCCUGCUCUUGGGAGUGAGCUUCUGGGCUGCUGCAGAGGCAUCUUGCAUUAAUCUCCUGUUGAGAAGUUCACCAUCCUCUAGCCAGAGAAAUCCAGCACUGAUUUGAUUACUCUCUCAACCAGCUGUUGGCUCCUUCUGCUGUGUCAGGCCUGGCUGGAUAAGCCAUUACAGAGCACCGUGACCUGCCUUCUUGCAUGCUGGUGAGAAGAACCAUUGCAGGUACAGUUACGCCACCCUUGGUUCUAGGAACUCCAGGUACAGCCACACCGCCCUCAGUUCCAGGAACUUCAGGUACAGAAUACGGUCCAUUUGAUCUUUUAUAUGGCCACAUCUUUCUACUUGGGCCAAAGCUCAGCCCAGAGGACAGCCCCAUUGGAGAUUAUCUUCUCAGAAAGAGAUCCAUUAUGCUAACUUUCUCUUGCCUUCUCUUGACACCCAGCCUUAUGAAGAUAGCCUAGCUAAAAAAUUGGUCCUAACUAAAUACUUAAACUUCUGCUCACUACAGCUCAAGUGGACAGGACCCUUCCUGGUCAUCAUAACACCCCUUGGCUGUCCAUCUAGCAGACCCUCCCUGUUGAGUACAUCACUAGCAGGUGUUCAGAAAAUAGUGGUAUUAACGUGAUCUGAAGGUGUUUUCAGCCUCCUGAUGUCAAAAGGCCACCUGCAUCGAACUACUCAGCAGUUUUAACAAGAAUGGAUCUCAGUCCAUGAAAAGUAACUAAGGCAUUAAGAUGGAGAUGAAUGGUACUCAAGGAGCUGUACCCAUUGGACUCUUCUAAGGAGCCUCAUUUGUACCUGAACGAGAUGUAGAUGAAGAGCUCUCGGGCCUGGUGGAGCCUUGGCAUGGUGCUGUGAUGAAUGGCAAUCUGGAGAUCUUAGAUGAGGGAUGGGUGUGUUUUCCAUGUGGGAGGUCCACUCUUAGAACCAGGAAGUGAGAUGGAAAACAUACUGGCCAUUCAACCUUGGAGGAGAGUUUACAUUUAACUAUUCUACAGACAGAUGCUCACAGCUCCUCUUCUCAAAGGACUCUUCUACUGACUUCUAUAAUACAACGGUCCGUUGCUUUUCUUUAUAUCAACAUCCCUGUGCAUGCUUUUGGCCAAUAAAGACUCUCUUCUGCUAUCAGUAUUUG